rnacentral:rRNA from 1 species
AUUGAACGCUGGCGGCAGGCUUAACACAUGCAAGUCGAGCGAGCGGCGGACGGGUGAGUAAUGUCUGGGAAACUGCCUGAUGGAGGGGGAUAACUACUGGAAACGGUAGAUAAUCCCGCAUACCCUCAGUUGUGCCCAGAAGGGAUUGUCUAGGAGGUGGGGUAAUGGCUCACCUAGGCGACGCACCCUAGCUGGUCUGAGAGGAUGACCAGCCACACGGGAACUGAGACACGGUCCAGACUCCUACGGGAGGCAUCAGUGGGGAAUAUUGCACAAUGGGCGCAAGCCUGAUGCAGCCAUGCCGCGUGUGUGAAGAAGGCCUUCGGGUUGUAAAGCACUUUCAGCGGGGAGGCGUUACUCGCAGAAGAAGCACCGGCUAACUCCGUGCCAGCAGCCGCGGUAAUAC